rnacentral:misc_RNA from 1 species
GAAAAGAAAAGAAAAGAAAAAAGAAUAUAAAAAGAAAAAAAAUCUUUUAAUUAUAACAUAUUAAUUUCUUUUCUUUUUUAAUUUCAAGUUUGACCAAUUUGGUCAGUUGGAUAAAAUUGAACCAACUUUGUCAAUUUGGUCUAACUUGCAAAAGUUAAAAGGUUUGGAUUAAAUCCCAAAUUCAUGCAAAGGUUUGGAAUUUUGGUGUAAUUAGG